AUAUGUCCAAUGACAGGAUGAGUAAAAGGUCGUAUUUCAUGACAGAGAGCCAGGGUAGCUGAAAACUGGUAUGAAAAGCACUUUUGAAUAUGGUCCUUGAGGAAUUUUCCUUCGAGCAAUUAGGUUGUAAGGGGGAAACGUAUCUAAGCGUUAUUUAGUUAGCUACGACUAUAUUGUGUAGCUUCAGAGGCUGUCAAAGGAUAAAGUAGACAGUGAAUCUGGGUGGUACCACGUGAGUGUAACUUUCGUCCCAAGU
rnacentral:ncRNA from 1 species